rnacentral:misc_RNA from 1 species
AAGUCGUAACAAGGUUUCCGUAGGUGAACCUGCGGAAGGAUCAUUACAAAUCAUCGUAUGAACCACCCUGUUGAAUCUCUAUUGUGUGUGUCGUCGUUUGUGUGUUGUUGUACGAGCAGAGUAGUGAGCCAUGAUGAUUCAUUCCGAUGAAGAAUCAUGGUGCUGCCCUCUUGUUUGGCCAUACACACGACGACCACCACAACAACCCCUAUUAUUGACUAUUGAUUGACAUGACAAACGUGUGCAUGAUGACGAUGAUGUUCAUCCUCGGAUGAGCCCAUCAUCAUCAUCACAUAAUAAAAACGAACAAAACUUUUAACAAUGGAUCUCUUGGCUCUU